rfam:Macaca mulatta chromosome 4, whole genome shotgun sequence.
CCAAUGGCCCUUUUCAGGGCCGCCCACUCUCUCUCAGAAAGAGCUG